CCUUGGGCAGUUGGGCUGAGUCCUCCCGUCUCUCGCCCCUGCAGAUAUAGUUGCGGCGGGGUUUCCUUCUUCGAGAAAGUUCCGAACCAGAGGGAGCCGCGCGGAAAGCCGGAGGCGUCCCAUGCUGCUGGCAGUCUUGCUAACUUCAGCUGAUGGUUAAUAUGAGGGACAAUGACUCAUCAAGCGACGCACAAUUGGACGAGCCAUUAGGACGGGUAUCGAUACUCUCUUACGGUUCUGGGCAUAUGCUCAACGACAUCACAUCGUCUUGUUGGUUUACCUAUUUGCUUGUGUUCUUGACAGAUCUGGGACUUAGUCCAGGUGAUGCCGCUAUUGUGAUGCUUUCUGGACAAUUGGCGGAUGGCUUCACAACAAUCUUUGUUGGGGAAUUGAUGGAUCGCUUUGGACAUUUCAAACUGUGGCAUGCAGGAGGAUCUAUUUUAGUGGCAAUUUCCUUCUCGUCUGUUUUUGGUAGCUGUGUUCCUUGCAAACUUAUGGGAAUUAAUACAUCUACUUUGGAGACUGUUGGAUACAGCACAUUUGCUGCUAUUUUUAAUGUUGGUUGGGCAGUUACUCAAGUCGCUCACAUGUCUAUGGUAAACUGCAUUACAUCAAAUCCAACUAGCCGGGUUUCACUUGUAAGCUGUCGUAAUGCCUUCACGAUGGUUGCGAAUCUUAGCCUGUAUGGCGUUGCUUUGGUGAUAUUUACUCUAUUGCAGUCAGUGAAUGUACUAGUUCAGUAUCGGUGGAUUGCUUAGGUGUCCAUUUCCCUCGGAUCUUGCUUUGUUGUCAUCUUCUUGAUUGGAACCAAAGAGCCAGGAUCAAUUCGGCACUGUUUGGAUAAGAGUCCUUCCAGAAUUUCAUGGGACUACUGGUUCAAGAGAGUAUUGUACUACCAAGUUGCUCUAGUCUAUACUCUGACUAGAUUGGUGACCAAUGUUUCACAGGCAUUUCUUGCUUUCUAUGUAAUAAAUGAUUUAGAAAUGAAUCAAUCCUCCAAAGCAUUGGUACCUGCUAUUAUCUACAUCUGCAGUUUGAUAGUAUCUGUAAUAUUACAGGAGACUAGAUGGUCAAGUUGGCGUCUUAAGCUUUACUUUUCAGCUGGAGCAGUGCUUUGGAUAUUGUCAGGUCUUGGAAUUGUUCUUCUACCGAGCAGAAUGCACAACCUCAUGUAUGCCAUUUCAAUCGUAAUAGGAGCUGCGAAUGCACUUAUGACAGUGACAAGUAUUAGCAUGGAAGGUGUUCUAGUAGGAGAAGAUCUAAAUGGUUGUGCUUUUGUGUAUGGCUCAUUAAGUUUUGUUGACAAAGUUUCAUGUGGAAUAGCUCUCUAUGUUCUCGAGUCCUAUCAAGGAAGUACAAAGAUCAGAUCAAAUUUAGGAACAACAUCUGGCUAUUCAGUUACAAGACUUGGCUUGGGCUUAGUUCCAGCUGCUUGUUCGCUGCUUUCAGCUAUAGCAGCUUAUACCAUGGAGCUCCCUGAUACUCAGAAAGGACCUUUGGUGGAACCCCUUCUAGCAUAACUUCACUGGUGGCAGUGUUACAGUUUCACCGUGAGAUUUCACAGUAAUUGCUCGAUGGAAUGACACUGCUGCUCGAGCCUGAAGAUGUUAGCGACCUGGUCAAUUCGUUUUGACUUCGUAUAUAUAGUCUGAAUAAAUUAUGACGGAGGGGAUAUACUGAGACACGUUUGAAUAGGGAUUAGAAGUGACAUAGGGGGGCUAGGGGCAAGAAGAUCUGUGUUGAUCAUACUGAGCUUUACAAGUCAUUCUGCAAUCCAAUGUAAAUAUAACUUAGCUUCAUUUCGAAAGCAUCAAAACUGCCAACUAGGCACAUGUAGCGACGAUGGGCAAGGAAAAGAAUAUCUCUGGUCCUUGUUCUACGCUAUAAUUUCAUUGUAUAUGUAGCAUCAUGAUUGAAAAGAAAUAUCUUAUAUUUAUAUUGAUGGGUG